UGGGUGCAGGAUGCGCAGCUUCUGGCACAAAAUCGUUUUGCUCAUGUGUAGAACAGUUAUUGUGCGUAGAACAAAACAAGAGUACGAGAUAGCGUUUCUAGACAUGCCUCAUCACUUUGAAUCCUCUUUUGUCUUAGAGCUGGGGAAAGAAGAAGAAAAAGUGUUUGAUCCAAAUGCUUUGGAUGCUGAUCGCUGCGAGAGCUGUUACGGGGCAGAGUCAGAGGACAUUCGGUGUUGUAAUACUUGUGACGAUGUUGGAGAAGCAUACAGGCGGCGAGGCUGGGCCUUC